AGUCAAUGGAAAGCUUAGUCACUGGAGUCACAAAACUUAACCUAAAAAAUAUCAUUCACCACAGAAGCUUCACGGGCUAUUGUAAAGAAGGAAAUAAAAUCUCCGAAUGACUAGUUUUACAAACUGAAAUCUGUAAUAUGACAGAGAACAUUUUUUUCCUCCUCCCUCUACUCUUCUUGCCACCAUCUCCUUCUUCAAAUUUCCCUCAGAUUUCCUUAAAUUUCCUUCUCAUUGGAAAGGGAAAGAACAAACUUUACAGAAUCUUAUUCAAACCAUUGAGAACAAGUCAUUAUUCAUAUUUCAAAUCUUCUGCUGAAAACUUGUGCCUUUUAGAGCACCCACACCAUUCCUCACCAGCACAGCCUCCUGAACGACUAACAGUGUCCAAAAGAGAAUGUACAAAUCACAGCUGCUUUAAGGUCACAAAGAAGCAACUUUGGAUGACAAAAUUUUAUUAGACAAAUCAAUCAAGGAAUGUUAAUGUGAGUAGUUAUCUUUGGCUAUAAAAGGGGGUGAGUGGGAGGGGUAGUGAAGUUAAGGGAACUCUACAGCCAUUUUCUCUGUAUUUAUGUACUAUUUAAAACUUUUACAGUGAGAAUAUAAUCAUACAUAAUUUUGUAAUAUUACAAAAAUAAGGCAAAUAUCACAAACAGAACAGAAUAUUAAGAAUGAAAGGACCAUUAGAAAUGACCUAGUCCCAAAUCCCUCAGUUGGGAUGAAACGGAGACAAGAGAACAUAACUAGUAUACCCCAUGUCACAGAGUAACCCAGUUUCUAUCUCCUAAACUCCAUUUAAAGGAGGGAGGUGGGGAACAGCACAGAGCUGCUCUGACAAUAGGCAUCCUCCCUUCAGAAAACAAGAGAUGCCAGGGCUUGAGUUAAUCUAGAAGCCAUAAAAGAAAGCUUUUGUUCAAAUACUGGAGGAAGUAAGAAACUAUGCCAAAACCAGGGGAUUGAGGUUGGGGAAAGGUAAGGAUUCAAGUCAUAGAGUCAAUGGAAAGAUGUGGAAUCUAGGCUAUAGGAACCAGUCAAGAUGUCAGCAUCAAAUGGGACCAACUUGUUGCAUCCACCAGCUCCAGAGAUUUAUUUUUUCCUUUGUGAGUUUAUUUAGUGGUUCAGUUAGGGUGGCAGCUGAUGGCAGAGAGCUGGCUAGAAUACAAGAACUACAUGUUGAAUUCUAGUUUAAAGGUCUUUGUACUACUCCAUCAUAUGUUAAAUACCAGUGGUAAGAAUUUCUCAUGCCUAGCUGCGAGUGAUGCAAAAGCAGAUAUAAAAAAUUACAGACCCAUGGGUAAAAAGAGCUAAAAUCCUUCAACAGGAGCUAAAAGCAAUCACUAAAGGCUAUAUUUUCC
rnacentral:lncRNA from 1 species